rnacentral:lncRNA from 1 species
UAUAGAUAUGUAUGAAUAUAUAUUUAUAUAUAUGUAUGAAUAUAUAUUUAUAUAUAUGUAUGUAUGUAUAUUUAUAUAUAUGUAUGUAUUACAUAUGUAUAUAUGCAUUAUAUAUAUAUGUAUGUGUGUAUAUUACACACACUCACAUACACAUAUAUUAUUACCCAUAAUUUUAAAAAGAAACACAGAUUUAUAAUAGAAGUGAAAAAUAAAACAACGUAAGAGAAAAUUCUUCAAAUGGUUUCACUUUGGUCAGCUGAGAUGGAAAAUGGCACAUAAUGCUCCACCGUCCCAUUUCAAGAGAAAUUACAGCCAAAGAGGAACAAAGUGAUUUUUUUCAACUAGGAAUCAAAGAUGUUGAGUAGUUGAUUCCGAAGCUUAUCAAGAACCAAACACUUGCUAAAUACUGCCUGACAUGCAAUGUGACACAUGACAGGGGCAGCAGAGAGAAAAAAACAUAUUUAAAAAAAAAAAAAAAAAAAAAAAAAUUGCUUCAGUUUUGAUUUUCAUUAAAUAUUAAAAAAGAAAAGAAACUGAAAGAUAAACAGGUUAAUGUAUUUUGUAGAAUUUAAUUCUCUUCUGCUUCUGUCAUUCAUAAAUGGCAAUUCAAAGACAAUUGUGACCAAGUUGUCUUUAAAUCUAAACAUAAAAUAAAUCAUAUAUGGCUUAUACAUACAUACAUAUAUACACAUAUAUUCAUA